rnacentral:tRNA from 1 species
GCCUCGGUAGUUUAAUUGGUAGAACGUUGGUCUCCAAAACCAUUGGUCUAGGUUCAAGUCCUAGCAGAGUGCGCCA